rnacentral:rRNA from 1 species
CGUGAUGACGAGGCACUACGGUGCUGAAGCAACAAAUGCCCUGCUUCCAGGAAAAGCCUCUAAGCAUCAGGUAACAUCAAAUCGUACCCCAAACCGACACAGGUGGUCAGGUAGAGAAUACCAAGGCGCUUGAGAGAACUCGGGUGAAGGAACUAGGCAAAAUGGUGCCGUAACUUCGGGAGAAGGCACGCUGACACGUAGGUGAAGUGAUUUACUCACGGAGCUGAAGUCAGUCGAAGAUACCAGCUGGCUGCAACUGUUUAUUAAAAACACAGCACUGUGCAAACACGAAAGUGGACGUAUACGGUGUGACGCCUGCCCGGUGCCGGAAGGUUAAUUGAUGGGGUCAGCGCAAGCGAAGCUCCUGAUCGAAGCCCCGGUAAACGGCGGCCGUAACUAUAACGGUCCUAAGGUAGCGAAAUUCCUUGUCGGGUAAGUUCCGACCUGCACGAAUGGCGUAAUGAUGGCCAGGCUGUCUCCACCCGAGACUCAGUGAAAUUGAACUCGCUGUGAAGAUGCAGUGUACCCGCGGCAAGACGGAAAGACCCCGUGAACCUUUACUAUAGCUUGACACUGAACAUUGAGCCUUGAUGUGUAGGAUAGGUGGGAGGCUUUGAAGUGUGGACGCCAGUCUGCAUGGAGCCGACCUUGAAAUACCACCCUUUAAUGUUUGAUGUUCUAACGUGGACCCGUAAUCCGGGUUGCGGACAGUGUCUGGUGGGUAGUUUGACUGGGGCGGUCUCCUCCUAAAGAGUAACGGAGGAGCACGAAGGUUGGCUAAUCCUGGUCGGACAUCAGGAGGUUAGUGCAAUGGCAUAAGCCAGCUUGACUGCGAGCGUGACGGCGCGAGCAGGUGCGAAAGCAGGUCAUAGUGAUCCGGUGGUUCUGAAUGGAAGGGCCAUCGCUCAACGGAUAAAAGGUACUCCGGGGAUAACAGGCUGAUACCGCCCAAGAGUUCAUAUCGACGGCGGUGUUUGGCACCUCGAUGUCGGCUCAUCACAUCCUGGGGCUGAAGUAGGUCCCAAGGGUAUGGCUGUUCGCCAUUUAAAGUGGUACGCGAGCUGGGUUUAGAACGUCGUGAGACAGUUCGGUCCCUAUCUGCCGUGGGCGCUGGAGAACUGAGGGGGGCUGCUCCUAGUACGAGAGGACCGGAGUGGACGCAUCACUGGUGUUCGGGUUGUCAUGCCAAUGGCACUGCCCGGUAGCUAAAUGCGGAAGAGAUAAGUGCUGAAAGCAUCUAAGCACGAAACUUGCCCCGAGAUGAGUUCUCCCUGAGACUUAGAGUCUCCUGAAGGAACGUUGAAGACGACGACGUUGAUAGGCCGGGUGUGUAAGCGCAGCGAUGCGUUGAGCUAACCGGUACUAAUGAACCGUGAGGCUUAACCUUACA